GUCAAGCGCUGUUGGAAGGAAAAAAUCGCGUGAUAGAUCGUGCGAGUGUGUGUGUGUGUGUGCGUGCGAUUCGUCAGAAAUCAUACGUAGAAACCGUUUCGCAGUUCGCCAGACAGGACGAGAGUGGUGGAAUCGCGCGAUUAUUCCAUCCAGUACGGGCUACAUUAGGCAGUGUUCCGGGUAUUUUCCACUUCUCAUUUGGUAUCGUUGCUGGCAAACCGGGCAGAAGUAGAAUUCUUUGCCCACAAAGGAGAAGCACCACACCACCACAUCCUGCCUGCGUGUGAUGAUACUUUCUCCCGUCUUCGGUGUCUCGCGGUGUCGCUGCUGACGGGGAGCGGUGCGCUUUUUUUUGUUGCUUUCUUUUCGCGUGCGUCCAGGUGCUGACCAGGAAAGUUUGCGAAGCUGGCCACAUCCGCUCGGUGGUUGAUUCACGGUCAGCGGUGAAAAAAAGAAAAUUAUUCAUUGUUCUCGCGUACAAAGUGAUGCGGCACUGUGCGUGAAGUUCCCGCUGCGUGUGUGUGAAGAUAUUUGACGGAAGUUGAGGUGGUGCUAUUGUGGUGCUGCCUUCCCCUCCCACCCCAUAGUUGCGCUCGACACGUUGCCAUCCCCAAUUAGGGCCACCUGUGAAAAGGCGUGCGAUGGUGGUGUAGAGCAGAAAUUGGCCAAAAGUGCAGUGAGAAGAUCCGUGUGAGCAAUCGUUGUGCCAGUGUGCCGAAAACCGUUCCUGCCGUAGGAGACGGCGUGUGCAUUGUUUUCGUCUAGCACCCUUCCCGGCGAACCGUAUCGCGCUGAGUGUGAUCCGAUUCUUAAGAACUGCAGCAACCCGCUCGAAAAACACACACACACACGAUGUAUUUCUACAAACAAAAGCUGCUGCAUGCGGCGCAGCUGAAGAAGCUGUACGACCACAAGUAUUCCUGCACCAACGUCAGCCUGAUGGAUCCGUUCCUGCAGCCCUGGUGGUGCUGGCUCGUCUCGAAGGUGCCGCUCUGGUUGGCCCCCAAUCUCAUCACGAUCGUCGGCCUGGCGAUCAACAUCGCCACCACGCUCAUACUGAUCUCCUACAGCCCCACCGGCCGUGAGGAACCCCCGCGAUGGUCGUCGGCCCUGUGCGGCAUCGGCCUGUUCAUCUACCAAAGCCUGGACGCGAUCGAUGGCAAGCAGGCGCGCCGGACCAACUCGUCCUCGCCGCUGGGCGAGCUGUUCGAUCACGGGUGCGACUCCAUCUCGACCGUGUUUGUCGCCCUGUCGGCCUGUAUCUCCGUCCAGCUCGGCUACUACCCGCGGUGGAUGUUUUUCCAGUGCUUCUGCGCGAUGACACUGUUCUACUGUGCCCACUGGCAGACGUACGUGUCCGGUACGCUCCGGUUCGGGCGCAUCGACGUUACCGAGGCCCAGUGCACGAUCAUCGGCAUUCAUAUGAUAUCGGCCAUCUUCGGUCCCUCGAUCUGGAUGACGAAGCUACCGUUGAUGGGGGGCAUCGACAUAAAGACGGUCCCGCUCUACUUUGCCGUGUUUGUGUUCGGACUGCUCGCCUAUCAGAACGCGUCCGUUAUCUUUACCGGUGGCGUGGGCAAAAAUGGAUCUACUGUCGCUGGCACGAGCGUACUAUCGCCGAUCAUCCCGUUCCUGUUCGUCGUAGUGCCGGCGUACGUGAUCUCGCAGAAAUCUACGGACCAGAUCUACGAAAACCAUCCCGCCCUGUACAUAAUGGCGUUCGGGAUGAUUACGGCCAAGGUGACGAACCGGCUGGUGGUCGCCCAUAUGACAAAGAGCGAAAUGGAGUACCUUGACUGGGGACUGAUUGGACCGCUGUGCUUGUUCCUCAACCAGUACUUCAACAGCUUCCUGCCAGAGUACUACGUCCUGUGGUUCUGUUUGCUCUGGUGUACGGUCGAUCUGAUCCGGUACUGUGGGCAGGUGUGUCUAGAAAUUUGCGACUACCUGAAGAUUGAGCUGUUCCGCAUUCCCUACCCACCGAAGCCAGUAAUGACAUCACAAGGUACGAACCCUCCACAGCAUCACCACCACCAUCACCAUCACAGUCACGAUAACAAGAACGGUACGCAUAGUCUAACCAAUAACAACAACAGCGCCGCGACGUCCGCCCAGCAGCAGCAGCAGCAAUCGAUCAACAGAAAGCAAACGCGUGCCAGCAGCAGAAAGCACAAUGCCGCCGCACACUAGUGAGCGCGAGAUCACAGACGAGUGUGUGUGUUUGGUCGCGCACUGGUUGUUAAUAUGGGGAGAGGGGUUGGGACGAUGCUUGGUAUCAGUUGUUGGGGUUUUAUCUUCGAGCUAAAGGAUAUCCGUCAGCAGCGUCGAGAGUUUAUUGUAGUACCAUUCGGAAGGGGGGGAAGGAAAACGGAAGUAAGGCACAACACGAUCACCGCUUUACUAUGAACACUGUUAAACUCGCAAAUGCAUCCUUUCUACGCCAGUGGAACGAAACGAACCUUACUAUCUUUAGCUGCAGCCCAUCCUCUCAUGUAACACAGAAGCGGGGUUGCAUUCGUCUCGCCGGUGAAGCCGCUUUCGUAUACAAUUUUGCUUUCUUUUCUUUGCUGGUACACGGGUAUUAUGCCCUUAGAGAGAUGUAGUGCUGGUAGGCGCUACAUCCCGUCCAUUGCGGCACUGGAAACGCUUCCCUGUUUUUUUCAGUACACAGUAGUAGCGUGUACUCGUCGUACCCUUUUUCGCCUCUAUAUCGUAAAACACUACGGAGUUGUGUCAGUGAACACUAUAUCCACUGAACGGAGUUGCUUAAUGUAGGACAGAUUAGCGGUGGGAAAGAAUUUAGAAGGAAUUUAGAGUAACUAAACACACUGCUUUGAAAUGUUUUUUUUUUUUUAUUUUGGAGAAACUGGGCAGCGCCGAGUACUCUUCACCUUAAUCAUCAUUACCUUAGAGAUGUGCUUUCGUUUGUGUGUUUUGCAACGGGUCCUCCUUUCUUUAUCUUUUUAUUCCCUUUCGAUCCGUUUUGUGCUAACUGUUUGUCAUCGUGGUUUCCUUCUGCUCUCCGACUACUCCCUAAGCGUGUUAAGUUGUUAUCGUUUUCUUUGUGUGCUAUGUGUACCGUUUUCUUGUAUGUGUUAUUAUGUUGAUUAUGUUGUUGCACUUCGCAAGCGUGUAUGUACCGCUAAACCACCGUACACGUAGCGGAGGGGAGUUUGCUCAAAUGUGAAACCCAUAACAGCUAGAUCCGCGGAUUAGACUAAAGGCACACGCGUACACACAAAACCUAGCAUGAUGUGUAUGUGUGUGUGUUAGUGUACGUGAGACAAAAGUGUAGCAAGACAACAGUACAUCAAUGUCCUUAAUGAAAGGAUCAUAUGCUGGAGCAUCACUCACCAAGACAGCUUUCACGAUCCUACAUGAUCGUCAGGCUGUACCAAAACUUUGCCAACUAGACAGAGGACAAGUAGGUCAUGAUUGUGUGCUGUGUGUGCUUCUGAGCAAUGGAUAAUAUUUUUAUAGAAUCAUCUUCUUUUUGUUUUUAUUGUUUGCACGUGCUCUAGUCGGCAUGUUGGAAACAGGAAAGUUGAUCAAUUUGUAAAACGGUUGUGCGGCGAUAGUUGGGGAGAAAUUAAGCAACAUGUAAAAAUAUGUCCCACGUCCCAGUAGGUUUGAAAUAUUUAUAUACACUCACACACACAGAGUAAAGUUAGUUGUAUAAAGCAGUAAACAAAUUUAGAGCGCAGUUCGACGAUCGUAAAGCAAAAUCAUGCGCUUUUUAAUGGGAAGAAGAAGAGGUAGAAAGAAGAAAGCGGCAGGAAGUAGCGUGUAUAAUCAAUCCAAUGAAACCGUGCGUGUGUGUGUCUGUAUGUGUGCGAUCAUUUAAUCCCUGUUAGUAAUCAUUUGUUACUCGUUUUGUAACCUUCCCGCAAUCCCAAAGUGUGUAAUGUAGUGUAGUGUAACCCGCUAGAUUGACUAUGAUUGAAUGAUCAUAACGCCAAAAUGGGAAAGAAAGAAAAGCAAAAGUCGCGUGUAAAAAAAAAAAAACAACAACAGAAUUAUGCUGCAAUGUUUUGAAAAUGCAACUGGAACUGGAAUGAAAAUGUAGUUAAAUCGAAAAAGAAAUUCAUUUAGCAGUUUGCUUAUUUUGGUGAGAAAAUGAAGAAAAUAUUACGGAUCCCUAGCCGCAUCAGUCCACCGAGUCGUGGAACAGGGACGCACUGAUUCGUCCCUUAGUAAAUGUGUCAUUAAUCAACGCCCCUAACGGCCUUUAUGUUACACGUGUCUGAAUGGUCUGCGCAAUGUGGUGUGCAUCUCAGUGUAUGCGUAACAUAUAACGAAGUGUGCAUAUGUGUUAUCCAUAUUGCUUAAAACGAACUCUAUUUCCCACCCACCACCACAACACCUGCCGAAGAAACGGACGAGCUAGACCAGCAGCAGCAGCAGCAA